CAGGUCUGCUUCCGUGUGAAACUCCUUCGACGAGUCGAGUUGUUUGGGAAUGCAGCUCAAAAUGGGUGGUAAAUUUCAUCUAAAGCUAAAUAUUGGCGGGAGACCGAUAGCGCACAAGUAGAGUGAUCGAAAGAUGAAAAGCACUUUGAAAAGAGAGUUAAACAGUACGUGAAAUUGUUGAAAGGGAAGCGCUUGCGAUCAGACUCGCUUUCGGUUGAUCAACGUUCCUUCUGGUUCGUGCACUCUGCCGUUUGCGGGCCAGCAUCGGUUGGGGCGGCGGGACAAAGGCUUUGGGAAUGUGGCUCCUUCGCGGGAGUGUUAUAGCCCAUCGUGUCAUGCCGCCAGCUCCGACCGAGGUCCGCGGUUCGCCUAGGAUGCUGGCUUAAUGGUUGU
rnacentral:rRNA from 1 species